CAAGUCGAGGGGCAGCAUUUCAGUUUGCUUGCAAACUGGAGAUGGCGACCGGCGCACGGGUGAGUAACACGUAUCCAACCUGCCGAUAACUCGGGGAUAGCCUUUCGAAAGAAAGAUUAAUACCCGAUGGCAUAAUAUUCCCGCAUGGGAUUAUUAUUAAAGAAUUUCGGUAAAAGAUGGGGAUGCGUUCCAUUAGGCAGUUGGCGGGGUAACGGCCCACCAAACCUUCGAUGGAUAGGGGUUCUGAGAGGAAGGUCCCCACAUUGGAACUGAGACACGGUCCAGACUCC
rnacentral:rRNA from 1 species